rnacentral:rRNA from 1 species
AUACGUAGGUGGCAAGCGUUGUCCGGAGUUAUUGGGCGUAAAGCGCGCGCAGGUGGUUCCUUAAGUCUGAUGUGAAAGCCCCCGGCUCAACCGGGGAGGGUCAUUGGAAACUGGGGAACUUGAGUGCAGAAGAGGAUAGUGGAAUUCCAAGUGUAGCGGUGAAAUGCGUAGAGAUUUGGAGGAACACCGGUGGCGAAGGCGACUGUCUGUUCUGUAAGUGACACUGGGGCGUGGAGGCGGGGGGAGCAAACAGAAUUAGUUACCCUGGUAGUCCACGCCGUAAACGAUGAGUGCUAAGUGUUGGGGGGUUUCCGCCCCUCAGUGUUGCAGCUAACGCAUUAAGCACUCCGCCUGGGGAGUACGGUCGCAAGACUGAAACUCAAAGGAAUUGACGGGG